CCAGCAUCACCUCCUCCCGCAUUGAUACGUGGAAGCCCGCGCCCUGCACCCUUCCGAGGAAGGUGGAGCUUUCGUCGGGGCCGACCCUCAGCACGGUGUCGUAGAUCUCGAUGUUCCCGAAGGUGUAGGGGAGGCUCAUGUUCACCACGGUGACGGUGGUGUUGUCGGGACCGAUAAAGGUCUCGUGGAAGUAGACGCGGAAGUGGAUUCUCUUCUGGAUGCCGAGUUCGAACUCGGAGGUGACCGGGAAGGCCGUGGCAGCAGCCUGGAGGAGGAAGAAGACGAGGAGGAAGUAGAGAUGAGUGGAGCUGUGUGGGGAUGAAGCCAUGGCUAGGAUGACACAAGGAUCGAAGUGAGGUGGGUACAACGCUGGAUCAGGAACAUGUGUUUAUAGAGUAAUGUCUGCGCCAUGCGUCGUUGACAAAUACCAACUUUCAUAAACAUGUAAACACCAUGCCACACGGAGAUGGAAGAUGGAAGAUGGAAGUAAUAUAGAUAAUCUUGAGCAAUGAAGAUGGAUAACUGAGAGAUCGAUGAUAGUUGCAAGCAGUGGCCAAUGAGGAUAGUGUUGCGUCUUCUGCUAGUGUCAACUGGCCACAUGUAACUCAUGAAUUUGUCUUUUUCUUAACCAACCACAUCGUUCGAUGAUAGUUGCAAACGUUGACAUAAUGCAUGUCAACGUUUCCAUGUGAAUAACACCCACAUAAUCCUUCACCUAUCAAAGGUGUGAUCGGUUGACAAAGUUCAUCAUUAUUAUGUAAGGUACAUUUAUAUUAGAGGAUCGUCAAAUGCCAGUGCAUGUCAUGGUACUUUUCAAUGUGCAUAAUUGACACAAACUGUGUGGAAUCUCUCCCUCUUACUUGCCCCUUCACACAAUGCAUUUCUUUAUCAACAUAUGUUUGCUUCACCUGAGUCAACUGUUCAUGUGAUCCACACUAAAGCCUCCGUCGGUUCAGCAAAAUCGGCUAAUUGUCGUUACUUAAUGUUGAAAAUUGAUAACAAGUCUUUGUAAGACUAUCAAUUAAGAAUUUUGCACAUUUAGUCUCAAGUUGAUUAGAGAUUUAAAGAGUCAAUAGCUAAUGAAGAAUCAAAUAUCUUGAAAGGCAAAGAACCGGUCCUACUUAACAAUUUAUUAACAUUAAAAGAGCUCAAGAUUAAUGUUUUUUUUUAUUGAGGUAAAUAAUUUGUGAAAAAUAAGAGUAUUAUUUUAGACAAAAUAAGUAGUAAAAAAGAGGAUCAAAUUGAUUAACGAAACGUGGCAUGUCCACGAAUCUUAAAGCAUCAGAUUGCAUCAGUAACUAGCGACCACCAAAGCAGUCUCCACGGUGAGAAGGGGGAAAUGACGAUGUGAAGAAUCGCAGAGGCGGCUCUCCUCUUUGUCCUCCUCGGUGGCAACGAGCGCGAUUUGGUGAUCAAGGUCCGAUCACUUACGAUCCCUUCUCGUCCAAUUUUCCCAAUCUUGGUUAGAGUUUUAAUUUGAUGGAGUGCUUGACGCCGUCUUGUAGUUUUGAUGUCAAUUUCUUGGUGCGAUCUACUGUUCGAUCAGAAUCUUUGAUGGGUCCUAGCCGAUGAUCAUGCAACCUAGUUGCUCUAUGAUCAACGAAAACGAAACCUAAUAUUAUAGUUUCUUUUUCCUCUCAGUUUAGAUUCACUUCUUCCCCUUGAUCACGCAAGUAGUCGAAGCUUAACUGCAGGAAUUGUUCGAGUUUUUUUCACGUAUUUGAGCUUUUUGUGUCGUAACCUACUACGUUUUCUUGAUUUUAGACUGAACUAGGCUUUGCACUUGGUUGCUAUAUAUGCAUUCAAGAUAAUACUCUUGCCAUCAAAUCAUUGAAUUAUGUGGGGAUUAUUCAUCGAACAGAUUCCCUUUAAGUCGCAUAGUCUUUUGUUCCUUUCCCUGGUUCUGUUGCUUGUUGCAUAUCUUAAGUACAUUACUGUUUCCUAUGUCUGCAUCUCAUGUAUUUCACGUUAUCCAAGCAAGAAAUUUGUCAGAUGUGCAUGAUGUUCAACCAAUUGAUCUAAUAAACGCCAACUUUAUCUACACAUCAAUUGAAAGAAAAGAACAUCUUAUCAUUAUUCCAGUUUCACAGCUAGAAAGUAGUGAUGCAUCUGAAACUGUAGCUGUAUGUGAAAAUUUCGGCAAGUCAGGUAAAAGAAGUAAGUAUUAAGAAGGAAAUGUAUUGGUACCCCUUCCAAUAAGGAGAUAAUAGUUAAACAAGUUGCUAUCGAUUAAACUUAUGGGUCAUAUAAUUUAGACCUUUUUAGGUCUCGUCUACAUUGUUAGUUGUUAUCAAGGAAGUAACUAGCAAUUUAUUGUGAUUCAUGAAUUCCUUUGCAUAGGAUGGAUUUAAUAAUGUUGCAUGAGUAAGGCUUUCUGCAUUAUGGCAUGGCUCAUGUUGAUAAUAUGCGGGCACAUAAAAACUACUGUAAGGGUCUACUUACAGAACCUUAUAGGAAGAUGUUUUGGAUAAUGGCUACAUGCAAUUAGUGGUGUUAAGGAAGGGACCUAUUUUUGGGUUGAUUACAUUGUAACAUUGCAGUGCCUUUAAAUUAGUAAGCUGCAAUAUAGAGAUUAAUAAGGGAACGUUGUGUACUCUUCUGAACCAAAUGAUGUUGUAUUUCUUCUUAUUUGGAGGUUUCAAGUUUCUUGAUUGAGUUUCAUUUUGUUGUAGUCUUUAUCUAAAUUUGACUCUUAAAAACCUCGAGUAAUUUAGUGAAUGUUGUUGGAUAAUGCUUCAAUCAUAGUUGGUGUGUUGCCAUCUAUAAUUAACUCCAGAUGACUAGAAGACGGGAGGAACUAAAAGACAAUCAAGUAAAAUGUUGGUAAACAAAACUUAAUAGGUACAAAGGCAUUUUAGUUUUUAGGUUGUUCAUUUAGUUGAUGUCACAUGGAAUAUCAUGUCCACAUCCACAAACUAUGUUUGUUUGUAGAGAGUACCUGUGCCAUUUAUUAGAUUCUACCCAACUAUCAUGUGACAAUAACAAUAUAAAAGGUUGAUUUUUUUAAUAUAUAGCGUCCUCAGAUUUGUCCAAUGAUGCAACUCAAAUUAGAUGAUUUUUGGCGACUUGAAACUUCAAAUACGUCUGCUUGAGUACCAUGGGUGCCAGCAGCAUUAUCUAGGCCAGUUUCACAUCAAUUUUAAGAGUAGCUGGAUGAUGAUAAAUUAAACCAUAUCAUCAAGACUCCUGCUUCUGUGUAUUGUAGUUUUAUUGAUCCUGAUCUUCCAUUAGAAUUUUAAGACUCAUGCAUGCGAAUACAUCAGAACGUCCUUUAAUUGAUGAAUUCUUUACCUCUGUCUUGACGAGCAGUUUCACCAGGAAUCAAACUAAUGGUGCAUGGCCUGAAGAAUGUAUGGGGAUCAAUGCGUGCAGUAGUUUCCACAGCAUGUGAGUUUAUGGUACUAACAUCAAAAGGAGCCGCUGAUGAGAAUAUUGUAGAGCAAAGACUGCUCAAGGAGCUGUGCAAACAUGGCUUUUAAUAAAAUUGACUUGGAUAGGGAGUUUUCUUGGGCUAAAAGAUUAUGACCUGUAGCAGUCCAUGGAUGAGCUUUUUGGUUGUGUAUGAUGAAUAGAUUUUUGCCUUGAGAGCAGAGCUUCAGGUUCUCGUUAGCCUGUAACUCCUUGCUUCUUUUAUCACAUGCUUUAGUGAUCCUCGAUGCCUGCAAGAUUACUGAAACUAAUAUUUGAGAUUGGUAGCCCAAUUUUUUCUCUCUCCAGUGGGUAGUUCAUUUGGUACCCUAUGGACUCGGUAUCUUUCCUUGCUUAUCCCGUAGCAGCAGCGGAAAUUUUGGUAGGAGAAGCUUUAGAUUGACUUUGUUUUCUCCAGUUUGUGGUACAAAUAUCAUUAUCUGAUGUGGUGUCUCUUGAGAUUGAUGUGGCAGGUUCUAAAUCUUACCAGGUAUUAAAGGAUUGUGGAUGUUACUUUUUCUUCUUUUUGAUUCCGUUGAAAUCUUUUGGUAGGUUGUAACUCACAGACGGAGAUUGAGCCGCAGCAAAUUGACUUGAAGAGCAUCAUCAUGGCAGCAACUGGGCUUGGACUUGUUUGAGGGAAGGUCACUUGGACUGGUAUGCUACUUAGCCCAAUCCAAUUGUUUGGUUACCGCAAAGCUCACUGGUUCAACAGAGAUGCAUACUAUUUCACGAGGGAUUACCUUGUUUAACUUUUGCUCCUAAGCCAUACAACACCAACGCUAACAGCUGAAGAAGAAUAUUUGGGAGUCUCAAUUAGAUCUUACAGAUCGUGUUCUCCCCUUCUGCUGCUUAGGAGGAUGGCGACGAAGCUGAGGCCAGCGCAGCCGCCGGUGACGAGGUUGCCCUCGCGGACGAGGAUCUUGAGGGCGACGGCGCUGAUGUCGGCGGUGAUCCGCCGCCCCUCCAUCACCAGCGCCCGCCACGGCUUCCCGGCGAAGGCGAGCAGCACCAGGACGGUGCAGCACGUGACCAGCGUCGCUGGCACCGCCACCGGUAGCGCUGCCCCCACGGACAACAUCCCGAACAACUCUCCGUACUGAUUGUGUAAAUGUAAAGACAAAGUUUGAUUGAAGCUUAUUAACAUGUUCCCUGGGGGGAGGAUUUUCAGAGCAGUGAGAUUUCCUCGUGCAAUCGGAGAAAUCUUAUUUGCUAUCACAUACAGCACCGACGUAUACAACCUCGACGACCAUGAUGAUGAGGAGGACGAGGAGGAGGCGACGAUGUUGUACCAGGAAUGGAUGGCAAGGAGGAGGCCCCAGGAGCAAUGAAGGAGGAGGGUGUAGAAGAGGAGAAAGAGGUAGACCCAUGUCCGCCUCUUGUUCGUAACUCUGGUAUGUCCGCGGUCGCCCUUGGAUGCUUGUUUCUCAUGGCCAGUGCUGCAGUUGCUGUUGCAGAAGAAGUGGAUGUGUAGCAGAAGCAAAAGUAAGUCCAACUCUGCUUGUGUCUCUGAGUUUCCCACCUUAGUCAAGCCAGCUGAAUAGCCUACUCACUUUUUUUAAUUUUUAUUAUUGUUUUAUCAUUUUUUAGAUGAAUGAUAAUAUUUAUAUAUGAAAAGAUAUUUUAUCUCAUUAUUUUACUUAAUAUUUUAAUAUUUAUAUCGAUAUUGGACUAACGGGAGAUGCCUUGCUCGGAUAGAAUAUAUCUAAGGGGGGAUAUAUAUAACUGAUAAGGGUAAUAAUUGUAAUAAGACUCACGUGACAUCAGCUGCAUCAGGUGACGCAUCACGCCUCUGUUGACUUGAUGAGGCACCUGGUCAACGUGGAUCGGAACGCCUACCAAGGCGCAUUAACGCUCUGUUCAGGUUCGAUCCCUCACGCCACGCCAACGGCAACGUUAGACGCUACCAGAAGUACGGUCCCGCUCCCUGCGGGCCAGCACAUUAGACAACGGUAAUUAUCACUAUAAAAACCCUCGCACUCUGAAGGGAAAAAAAGGGGGGGAGGGAAGGGAGAAAUCCCCUAGGACCAUCCACUAACUUGAUCGUCAGAGGGAUCGGGUCGAGCUCCCCGACCCGACCUUUGUGUAGGUGCGAAGGCGGAGGUCGUCCACCAAAGGCGCAGGCGGGGGUUCCCUCCCGGUGAAAACAGCGACCUCGUCCCAAUCGGAACACCGUGAUCGGCCACCUUAGCAGUCGGGAGGAGCGUCCCAGGAAGAUCCCCGUCAUCCGGACCCGAACCAAACCGCGUCGGUCCCGAUGCCACGGCUUAAAGUUGUUCACACUAACACUAACAUUUCGAUGUUUGUAUUAUGUUGGGACAUUUUUUUUUCGGUGAGAUAGUGAGUUGAGUAUUUUUUAUCCGAUCAAAAAGUUAUUUGAUAUAUUUAUAUUAUUGGGAUCAAUAUAGUAUAGAUGGGUCUAAUUUCUCUUACAAAAAAGAAUACCAUGAUUUAAACAUUGGGACUGAAAAAAAAUCUUAUAAGAUGCAAAGUUCAAGCACUAUCUUGGGUGGUCAGGUUGGGAACUCAUUGGAAGCUCUAUUACCACCGAUUAUGUAAGGUUAAAUUAUUUAAUUAGAAAAUAUUUAUUUUGCAUGUCAUAUUGAUGCGAAACAUCAUUAUUUUCAAACUAAUUAUCUCCUAUUUAUAUCGAAUCCAGAUUAAUUAUCCAUUGAAUUGUACCUAAUUUAUAAGGAUUCGCUGAAGGUAAAAUAAGCUUGAGAUAAUAUAUGAGUUCCACCCUUAAAAGAGAUGAUGAUUGAGCAAUUAGUUUAUCCCUCUAACUAUGGAGUAGGUUGGGAAGUCGAUGAAGCUCGAAAGAGAGGAUCCUGAGCAAGCAAUCAACCAACCUCAGUGGUUCUUCACUGAAAGGAGGAAGCAACGUAAGCAACAUCUAUGGAUGAGAGCAUUUUUCAUAUUUUUAAUGGUGGAGAAUCCCCGUUGAUUUGAGUUGAAAGUGUCAACUAGAAAUAAUCAAUAGAUCAUGGUCGCUAAUAUCAAGUUAUCUCCGAUAACAUCAAAAUCUCACUUCAAUAAUAUCUUCCAUUGUAAGAAUCCAACCCACAACAAUUAAAUACAAGAAAUGUGAUAGGGAAAGAGAUCAACUUCAAAAUCUCUAUGAGAAUGAUCGUUAGAUUUAAUAUUAUACUGGAUAGUAAUUGUAAUACCCCAAUUAGAAGUGAUAUGGUGAUAAUUGUCCAUCAGGACUUCUUUUAUAUUCUCAUAAAACUUUUCAUUAACUCAAGCAAAGUUCUUCAUGAUGUAUCACAUGUUAUGAAUAGUAUAUAUAAAUAGGGGAUCGAUACAUGAACCACCAUAUAUUGGGAGGUACAUAUUACAUGACCCUAUAUUAGACAAUACAGGAUCUAUACCAAUUGGUAUUGAUUGAAAUCCAAUCAUUAUAAAUUUGUGCUGACAAUUAUAUUGGGAGGUUACAAUUGCUUUAUUUUAAAUGAUCAAUUUGAUUGUUUGAACUAUAGAGAAGGGGUUUUAAACCCUUUCUUCUCUCCUUUUUCUACCAAUUUCACUCAAUCUUUUCAACUCUUUCUCACUUAUAUCUUUUUCUCAUUGUCAUGUUUUCACUCUCUUAAACUCAUCAUAACUAUAAUUCAUGGAUUAGAACAAAUGUGAGAGGCUAAUUUAGAAGGAUUACAAGAAGAAUAUUUUGAUCGAGAGGUAUAUAUUAUCAUUCUAGAUUUUUAUUUAUAUAUGAGAUGAUUAAGCCUAUUCUAUGUUUAUUUAUACAAUUUGAUGGUGAUGUAUCUAGAGGAGCAAUCUUUUACACUUGUCAUCUAGAUUCAGGCUCGAUAAUGUACUAGUUAAAUUUACACUAUGCCAUAAUGGGGGUUGAGGAGGAGGAUGCGACAUGAUGACAUUUACUGAUGAGAGCUUCUUUCAUAUUCUUAAUAGUGGAGAAUCUCUCGUUGACUUGAGUUUAAAAUGUCAACAAUAAAGACUCCGCUAAUAUCAAGUUAUCUCUAAUAACAUCAAAAUCUCACUUCAAUAAUAUGUAAAAAUCCAACCCAAGACAAUCGAAUAUAAGAAAUGAGAUUGGAAGGAGUUUGACUUCAAAAUCUCUAUAGAAAUGAUGUUAGAUUUAAUACUAAACUAGAUAGUAAUUGUAACACCCCAAUUGGAAACAAUGUGGCAACAAUCAUUGGCAAGGGCUUCUUUCAUAUUCUUAAGGUGGAGAACCUCCUAUUAAAUCAAGUAAGAUUCAUUGUACCAUGAUAUACCAUCUGAGACAAAUGAUACAUAUCAUUCUGACAAGGGAUUAGCAUGCGAACAGUCAUAUAUCGGGUGGUACACAUUACAUGAUUCUAUAUCGGAUGAUACGUGAUCUAUACCGAUCGAUAACGAUUGAAAUUUAAUUAUUACUGACUUGUACCAAUCGGUAACAAUUGAAUUUUGAUCGUUAUCAAUCAAGAGCUAAGAUUGUCUUAUUUUAAAUGAUCAAUUUGACUAUUUAAACUAUAAAAAAUAUUUUUAUAUCCUUUCCUCUCCCCACUCUUUCAACCCAUUUCACUCGAUCUUUUUAACUUUUUCAAACUCUUCUCACUCACAUCUUUUAUCUCAUUCUUAUAUUUUUACUUUCUUAAACUCAACAAAGCUAUAAUUAUAUAUUAAAUCAAAUAUAAGAUGUUAAUUUGAGAGGAUUAAAAAGAAUAACACUUUAAUUAAGAUAUAUAUAUAUAUAUAUUUCUUUUUAAAUUUUAUAUUUAUAUAUAAGAUAAUUAAGCUUAUUCUAUGUGGUCAUGUCUAUACAAUUUUAUACUUGUCACCCAAGAUUUAGAUCAUGAAACUCGACGAAAUACUAGUUAAGUUUAUACACGGGAGGGAAGGGAAAAACAAUGGAUGAUUUUGAAUAGAUGUGAUAGAGUAUACAUGACAUAGAUAUAGAUCAAACCUCGUCAUAUUCACAACCAUUGUAUUGUGAAGAAUCUUAAGACUAAUAGUAGUAUGAUGAUAGUUGAUUAUUCUUUUCCAAGUAGUAGUAUGAUGAUCAAUCUUAUGAUAUAGAGCAACAGAUCAGUGACGAAAGUAAAAGUUUAAACAUUCAUAAUGCUCCAUACUAAUAUAUGUCAUAAUUGUCCUUGCCUCAGGAGCCAUCUACGUGGUUCAUGACGAUCAACUUAUAACCAUCACAACAUUGAUGUACCAUUAACAUACGAUGUAUGUAACACCCUACUUCUACCCUACAUGUAUAACUAAAAUAUGAUGUCAUAUUUUAAAUUUUUAUUACUGCUAUCAAUAGGAGAGUAGUGAAAGUAGAUAAUCUUAAAAUUAAAACAUGCUAACUUACUUAACAAAAUGAUAGGAUUUCUCCUAUAUAUAGUAUUUUGGACAUUUAUACAUAAUUAUAGCCUCUAACUAAGAGAAAAACAUAAAUAUAACAAGUCCAAAAUUUAUACACACAAAACACCUACAGAACAUCAUGCAUAUCUAAGCUGGUAUAGGCUUGCAUAUACUCACUGCUCUACCCAAUCACUUGGGUGGGGUAUUAGUAAUGAGUACACUCAAUAAGUAUAAGCCCUUAUAGCUUUAUUUAGGUAGCAUAUAUCAUAUCAUAUAUGUAAUAUUUUAAAAUUAUUGGCGUAAGACAUUUAAUGGAAAACUCCCUUAUCAUAUAACUUCUUUAGUAAACAUAAUCCCACAACAUAGCAUAUAUAAAAUAAAGAGUUAAAGUUCUACUUCAAAAUAAUUCAAAAUGCUUAUAUGCAAAUAUAGGAAGUAUAAUAAAUUCAUUGACUUCUAUGCCCUACAUCAUAAUAUAUAUUUGCAUUCCCAUAUCAUAUGUUAUUAUAAUAUAUACGUGCACUCUCACACUACACGUCAUAAUAUUUACAUACACUCCCACAUUAUACAUCAUAGCAUAUACGUGCAUUACAUAUCAUAAUAUAUUCGUGUACUCACGUACCAUACAUCAUAGAAAAUAUAUACACUCUCAUACCAUAUGUCAUCAUAUAUGUAUACGUAUAUGAUAUUUUUAUCAUAAUUCAUAUAUUUUUAGACUUACAAAAUAUAUACAUUCAUAUUUAACUAAUGCUUUGCUCAUGACAAUCCUAUCAUUCGAAAUAUAAUUUUUAAAUUGUAUUAUACAUAUGACACCAUUAUUUUAUAGUAAAUUAAACUUAUACUUAAUUAAACUUAAAAAUAAAGAUAUUAAUAAAAAAUCAAGUUCUUUAAUAGUCGAAUGUAUUAGGGAGUGAUACUCCUUGGAGCAAAAGGUCAUGAGAUGUUUUAAUUAAUAAUCCUACCUCUUGAAUUAUUGAUUUAUAAUAAUUUAUAAUAAUAAUUCAUAAAAAAAAAAUUGAUAAAAAUCUCUUAUAAAAUAAAUUAUACUCAUCCUAAUAAUAUAUGAAGUUAUUCCUUCUCCAUGGUAGCUAAAAUUCAAAUUGAAUUAGUGUCGAAAGAUUAGAGAUCCAUGGCAAAGUAUGAUGUCGUAAUUACAUAUUAAUUGCGUCAUACAAAAAGGUGAAACAUCGUUUGUGCGUUCUUAUAUUUGCUUCCAUGUAAAAUGCUUUAAUUACAUUAAAUUAUAUGUGACAUUGACACAUAAACACACAGUUUUUAUUUAUUUUAAGAAAAAGAUAAAGUACAAAGUGACAAGUAAUUAUAUGCGACAUUGGCACAUAAACACACAACAGAGAGAGAGAGAGAGAGAGAGAGAGAGAGAGAGGAUAUAUAUAUAUAUAUAUAUANNNNNNNNNNNNNNNNNNNNGAGAGAGAGAGAGAGAGAGAGAGAGAGAGAGAGAGGAUAUAUAUAUAUAUAUAUAUAUAUAAGGCGGAGAUUCUUCGUGUCAUGUAUUAAGCUUCGGUGACAUCUCGAAUCAUGCGAUGGCACUGUGAUGGAGGUCGUUGUAGUAGACGACGUAGACGUCGUAGGCGACGACGAGCUUCGCGACAGAGGACGUCACCGUCUCGGUCACCAGCUUCCCCCAUGCGUACUGGAACACCCCCGUCCCUCCCACGAUGGCCCGCUCCGAGUUCCCGGACGCGUCCAGUCUCCCGAUCACCGUGAGAGUGCUGUUGACGAACUUCCCCGCCGUGAACACCAGCACCAGCGGUACCAGCAUCACCUCCUCCUGCAUUGAUACGUGGAAGCCCGCGCCCUGCACCCUUCCGAGGAAGGUGGAGCUUUCGUCGGGGCCGACCCUCAGCACCGUGUCGUAGAUCUCGAUGUUCCCGAAGGUGUAGGGGAGGCUCAUGUUCACCACGGUGACGGUGGUGUUGUCGGGACCGAUAAAGGUCUCGUGGAAGUAGACGCGGAAGUGGAUUCUCUUCUGGAUGCCGAGUUCGAACUCGGAGGUGACCGGGAAGGCCGUGGCAGCAGCCAGGAGGAGGAAGAAGACGAGGAGGUGGUGGAAAAGAGAGGAGCUGUGUGGGGACGACGCCAUGACUAGGGUGGUGGAUGGACAAGGAACGUGAAGUGAGAAGUGAGAUGAGCACAACAAUAAGAGGGAAAGUGUCUUUAUAGAGCAUUGGCUUAUGGCUCUGUCAUCAUCAUACAUAUCAUAUUUAUCACAGGUAAGUAUGAUGUACACAUCAUCAUAUUAAUAUUUAAGAGAUUAAAAUUAAAUAAUAUUUUGAAUCCUUAAUAUUCGAUAAAUAAGUCUUUUAGAUGUAAGAAUAUCUCAAAUAAAUUUUUGAAUAAUCAACCUUUGAUAAGUGGAUCAUCAUUAUAUUUAUACACGGAAAUGAAUCAUUUACAAUUAAUUAGACUUUGACAUGUUAAACUCAAUCAAUUCAUGAACUAUUAUUGAAAAUAUUUAUGGGUAUACGAUUAGAAAAAUAAGCUUAUAUGACUAAGGAUUGAAAGAAUCAGAUAACAUAAUAGUUUAAGUCUUUGGAUUGAAUUAAUAUCUUACUUGAUAUAUAUAUUAACUCUGAUCAAUUUGAUUCAAACUCAUCAAUAGUCAUACAACUAUGACAUGAACAAGCUCUAAAUUGAAGAUUUAUCGGGCAAGCUUAUUGAACUCAUCCAAGAGUCUUAUGGGUGCUAUUCAAAACAAAAUUGGACAAUCGUAUCCUCAUUGAACUUGGAAGAAAUCGACUCGAGCCACGUUAAUUUAGAUAUUGAGGUUGGAUUCCCCUAGUUGGACAUCUUAGUCGAACCUCAAAGUCAAAAGUCAUUCCAUCUUCCAACUAGAGCAACAAGAAUUCGGAAAAAAAUAAUGAACCAAAUCGAGUCAAGUUCGCCGGAUCUAAGUUCGACCGAAUGGUGUAUUUGGAGUCCAUCCUUCCAAUGCGGGGGGAAGAAGAUGGCAUAAAAUGCAAUAAGCGAUGCAUAAUAACACCGGUGGACGCCCGGUGAUUACAGCAUACGGGCUCUCGAUCGGUAGGUGCCUCGCUCUCCGCCUUCAGCAAGCAACGUAGACGUACAGCGACGGCUCUCGGUCGGUAGGUGCCUCGAAUGCAGGUGUCGCUGGGGAGAUGGGUGAUGGAGGUCCAAAAGAUGAGGCCAUUGACAUGAUCGAUGUCGACUGUAAUCUUCUCAUCUUAGGACAAGAUCUUCCACCUCACGGUCUCGUACGUUGCAUGGUGGGUGAACGAGGAGGAAGCCAUCGAUCGGGCGUUGGUUUCCUCCGUACACUUAUCUUUUCUCCAUGCUGUAGCUGUCGGUGAUCACAUUUGUUGCAUGUGAUACACGUUUUCUUUUUUUUUUUUCACCUUUGUCGUGUACUCUAAUUCUGAAAGAACCAUCACUUUCUGAUCACUGUACAUGACUGUGAUUCUUGCACAGUCAUUGAUCUAUUUCUUCUAAUAAUUGACUAUGAUUCUUGCACAAGAGAACUCGUAAAGCAUGAAAAUUUGAUAUUAUUAAUUAAUUUUAAUAAUAAUUUUAUUUUUAAAGUAAACAAAUAAAUUAAAAGAAAAUGGAGAAUUGCAUAUUCUCCACUCUGUUGAUACCCCUAUUUACUUGAGAGGAGACCAAUGUAGUUUCUACAAUCAAGUCAAACUAGAGUCUAAAUCAAAACUAUGUAGACCUCCCUUCCAUCCCUCUAGCUAGGUCUCAUUCGGUGCCAACCGACACCAUCGAAACUUUAGCUCAGUUUGCUUAAAUGUUCAGCUAGUAAACAUACAAACAUAUCACUUUCCAUCAAUAUAAAAGUACAUAUAUAUAUUACAAUAAUAUGUGAUAUGAUAGUACACACAUAUGUUAUGAUAUAAGGCGUAGAAGAUCAUACAUUUUUUAGGCUUCCUACAUGUGCAUAUAAGUAUUUGAAUUAUUUCGAUAUAAAAUUUUACCAUCUUAUUGUAUAUAUAAUGUGUUGUAGGAUUAUUUAUACAUGCUAAAGAAUUUAUAGGAUGAUGUGUCUAUCAUUAAAUACUUUAUGUUAAGGAUUUUAAAAUAUUAUAUACAUGAAAUGAUGUGCUCACAUAAAUAAAACAAUAAAGACUUAUAUUUACUGAGUGAUUAAUCACCGUAGAUCAUAUUUUACAGAUAAAAAUAUUAGUAUCCCACUCAAGUGAUUGUAUAGGGAAGUAAGCACAUGUAAGCCCAUGCUAGCAUAGAUAUGAACGAUGAUUUUUCAACAUUUUAUGUAUAUAAAUUUUGGACAUAUUAUAUUUAUGUUUUUAUUUGGUUAAAUGAUAUAAUCAUGUAUUUAAAACAUUAUGGAUAGGGGAAACCCUAUUAUUUUGUUUAGUAAGUUAGCAUGUUUUAAUUUUAGGAUUGUCAACUUUCCAUUGUAGUCAUAUUGAUAUCAGUAAUUAAAAUUUAAAAUGUAACAUCCUAUAUUAAUUAUACAUGUAAGAUAUGGAAGAAACUAGAAGUAGAGUAUUACAUAUUCAAUGUUCUUGAUAUCGAAUCCAUCUAUGAUAGACUCGGUGAAAGGCUACAGUUACAUCCAAGUCAUCCUUUAAAGAAUCAAAAUAUAUAUUAACAAUUAUGAAAUGUGAAAGAUUUUUUAACUAAUAAAUUAACUAGAAAAAUUGAAUGAACGAAUGAAUGCCAUGUUUAUGGGAGGAAUAGGUACAUGUCAUUUUGUCAAGGCACGUGAUUUAUUUGGAAUUUAAUGUAACUUAUUCGCAUUAUGUUGAUUAUAGUUUGCGACAAAUGUAAAGAUUCCAUAUCAAAAAAUAAAUUCCGAUGUGCAUGUGUUAGAUCCCUUAUGAAACUUAAUUAUUUAUAGAGUGACUUUAACAUAUAGUAAAUAAGUUUGUAUCUAUGUAACUUGGAUGAUCAUAUUGUGAAAUAUACAAAUAAUAUCUCAAGUUAUUCCUUCUCCGUAGUAGCUAAAUUUCAACUACAUUUGGUGUCGAAAGAUUAGAGAUCCAUGACAAAGUAUGAUGUUGUAAUUACAUAUUAAUUGCGUGAUAGAAAAAGGUGAAACAUCGUUUGUGUGUUCUCAUAUUGCUUCCUUGUCCGAUAAUUUAAUCGCAUUAAAUUAUAAGCGACAUUGAUAGGUUGAUGUUCACAAAAACACACAACACUAACAUUAUGACCCAUCGACCAUUUUGUACCCACUUGAUUCAGUUUUUAGAAUUAUAUUUGUCUGUUUCCAAAAAAAAAUAUUUCUUUAUGUAGUACGAAGUAUUUUUUUGAAUUAUAGUAUAUUAUAGUGAAAUUUUUGACAGAUAAGCUCACUCUACAGGAGAUGAGAUUUUUACCUCAUAACACUCAUCGCUUAAUUCUUUCCAAGUAAUUAGAUCCUUUUCAUCAAAGCAUUCAUAAUCUUUUAUAUAUAUAUAUAUAUAUUAUUGAAUUGAGCUGUACAAUAUUAUUUUAGUUGAUCUUAUUAACAACUUUAUAGUGUGGUCCGAUGCAUAAUACUGCUACUAAUCCUAAAUAGGAGAAGAAUAAAUUUACUAUAGUCAUAUAUACCUACAGCUAUGAAAAAUAAAGCAUGUCACCGUACUGUGCUGCAAAAUAUCGAGGUUUGUAAAAGCUUUUCUUUCUCAAUAAUAAGAAGCUUUUCUUUAUUUUAAGAUAAAGAUGGAAGUACAAAGUGACACGUAGAAUAGCAUUUAUUUCAGCCUUUUGUUUUGUCCUUAUUCCAACCGCUGUCUUCAUGGAGUGACACCAUAGCCGGAGUUCUUUUUGUCGUGUAUUAAGCGUCGGUGACGGCAAGGUCUCGCAAUCAUGGGCUGGCACUGCGACCGACGUCGGUGUAGUAGAUGACGUAGACGUCGAAGGCGGCGACGAGGCCCUCGACGGAGGACGUCACCAGCUCGCUCGCCAGCUUUCCCCAUGCGUACUGGAACACCCCCGUUCCACCCACGAUGGCCCGCUCCGCUUUCCCGGACGCGUCCAGUCUACCGAUCGCCGUGAGUGUGCUGUCGGCGAACUCCCCCGCCGUGAACACCAGUACCAGCGGUAUCAGAGACGCCUCCUCCUGCUGCGACAUGUGGAAGCCCGCGCCCUGCGCCCUUCCGACGACCGUCGAGCUAGCGUCGGAGCCGACCCUCAGCACGGCGUCGAAGAUGUCGAUGUCCCCGAAGGUGUAGGGGAGGCUCAUGUUCACCACGGUGACGGUGGUGUUGUCGGGGCCGAGAAAGGUCUCGUGGAAGUAGACGCGGAAGUGGAUUCUCUUCUGGAUGCCGAGUUCGAACUCGGAGGUGACGGGGAAGGCCGUGGCAGCAGCGAAGAGGAGGAAGAAGACGAGGAGGUGGUGGAUAGGAGAGGAGCUGUGUGGGGACGAAGCCAUGACUGGGGUGGUGGAUGGACAAGGAACGUGUUAUACUUGGCAAAGAUUGACAAGUGAGAGGAGCACAAGGCUGGAGGAGGGAGAGCGUAUUUAUAGAGUAUUGGCUAUGUCAUCGUCGUGCAUAUAUCAUAUCUAUCAUAUUAGACGAUAUUUUAGACUCUCUUAAAAAG
rnacentral:lncRNA from 1 species